GAGUUUGAUCCUGGCUCAGAUUGAACGCUGGCGGCGGGCCUAACACAUGCAAGUCGAGCGGAUGACGGGAGCUUGCUCCUUGAUUCAGCGGCGGACGGGUGAGUAAUGCCUGGGAAUCUGCCUGGUAGUGGGGGACAACGUUUCGAAAGGAACGCUAAUACCGCAUACGUCCUACGGGAGAAAGCAGGGGACCUUCGGGCCUUGCGCUAUCAGAUGAGCCUAGGUCGGAUUAGCUAGUUGGUGGGGUAAUGGCUCACCAAGGCGACGAUCCGUAACUGGUCUGAGAGGAUGGUCAGUCACACUGGAACUGAGACACGGUCCAGACUCCUACGGGAGGCAGCAGUGGGGAAUAUUGGACAAUGGGCGAAAGCCUGAUCCAGCCAUGCCGCGUGUGUGAAGAAGGUCUUCGGAUUGUAAAGCACUUUAAGUUGGGAGGAAGGGCAGUAAGUUAAUACCUUUGCUGUUUUGACGUUUACCGACAGAAUAAGCACCGGCUAACUCUGUGCCAGCAGCCGCGGU
rnacentral:rRNA from 1 species